GAUGAACGCUGGCGGCGUGCCUAAUACAUGCAAGUCGAGCGAACAGACGAGGAGCUUGCUCCUCUGACGUUAGCGGCGGACGGGUGAGUAACACGUGGAUAACCUACCUAUAAGACUGGGAUAACUUCGGGAAACCGGAGCUAAUACCGGAUAAUAUAUUGAACCGCAUGGUUCAAUAGUGAAAGACGGUUUUGCUGUCACUUAGAGAUGGAUCCGCGCCGCAUUAGCUAGUUGGUAAGGUAACGGCUUACCAAGGCAACGAUGCGUAGCCGACCUGAGAGGGUGAUCGGCCACACUGGAACUGAGACACGGUCCAGACUCCUACGGGAGGCAGCAGUAGGGAAUCUUCCGCAAUGGGCGCAAGCCUGACGGAGCAACGCCGCGUGAGUGAUGAAGGUCUUCGGAUCGUAAAACUCUGUUAUUAGGGAAGAACAACUGUGUAAGUAACUAUGCACGUCUUGACGGUACCUAAUCAGAAAGCCACGGCUAACUACGUG
rnacentral:rRNA from 1 species